GGAUCUGUUUGCACAGUUGGGGCGCUUGCCUCCGCACCCCACCUCCGGAAGAAAAGCACCACGAGGUCAUCUGUUUACUCUGGGAUUAGCGGCUCCCAGCGGGAGCUCUUUUCCUCGGAGAUGAAAAGAAAGCGGACAAUCUGUCAGGUUGCCCUAGGGAUCUGUUUUUAAUUGGAUUCAACUGGAUAAACGUGGUCCAAAGACUCUUCUGUGACGUGGAUCCCCCUGGACCCUGCUCCCACAUUGGUGCCUACCACCUUACGAGGCAGCUAAUUCCAUCGGCCUGAUAUUUCUGACUUCUAGAAAGUGCUGCACCUAACCAGACAUUUGCCCAUCUUCCUGUAGCUUCUACCUGUGAGCCAUAUUCUGGCCACCCAGCGCUGUGCGUCCCCUGUGCGUGCGGGAGGUGGGAGGGAAGGGUCUGGUCAGACCAACUGGGGUUUGCGUGCCAGUAUCUCCACUUACCAGCUGAGUGACCCUGCCCACGUGACUUAACCUUCCUGUGCCUCAGUUCCCUCAUCUGUAAAGUGGGGUAAGAGUCACUGCAGAGGACUGUUAUGGGACAUGGCUGAGAUGAUAGCAGGAAAGCUUUUAGCUCAGGGCCCAGCACCACAGUAAUUAUUUGCCAUUACGACUGUUAUUUCUUCAUUCGUAUCUGCAGCGCCUUGAAAAUAACUGAGGGCUCCCC